rnacentral:rRNA from 1 species
UACAGAGGUCUCAAGCGUUGUUCGGAUUCAUUGGGCGUAAAGGGUGCGUAGGUGGCGCGGUAAGUCGGGUGUGAAAUCUCGGAGCUUAACUCCGAAAUUGCAUUCGAUACUGCCGUGCUUGAGGACUGGAGAGGAGACUGGAAUUCAUGGUGUAGCAGUGAAAUGCGUAGAGAUCAUGAGGAAGACCAGUGGCGAAGGCGGGUCUCUGGACAGUUCCUGACGCUGAGGCACGAAGGCCAGGGGAGCAAACGGG